rnacentral:rRNA from 1 species
AGAGUUUGAUCAUGGCUCAGGACGAACGCUGGCGGCGUGCCUAAUGCAUGCAAGUCGCACGCAGGGUGCUUGCACUCUGAGUGGCGCACGGCUGAGUAGCACGUGGGAACGUACCCUCUGGUGGGGGAUAACGCCGCGAAAGCGACGCUAAUCCCGCAUAGCUUCUGCGGAAGAAAGCAGCGAUGCGCCAGAGGAGCGGCCCGCGGCCCAUCAGGUAGUUGGUGUGGUAACGGCGCACCAAGCCACUGACGGGUAGCUGGUCUGUGAGGACAGACAGCCAGACUGGGACUGAGAUACGGCCCAGACUCCUACGGGAGGCAGCAGCAAGGAAUUUUCGUCAAUGGGGGCAACCCUGAACGAGCAACGCCGCGUGGAGGAUGACGGCCUUCGGGUUGUAAACUCCUUUUGGGGGGGAAGACAUCGACGGUACCCCCUGAAUAAGGCUCGGCUAACUCUGUGCCAGCCGCCGCGGUAAUAC